rnacentral:pre_miRNA from 1 species
CCUUUCCCCUGCAUCCCCGAGCGAAGACGAGGGGGCCGGCCGAGCGCAGCCGAGGCCCGGUGAGAAUUCUCGCUUCGCUCGAAUGAGCCCCUCGUCUUCGCUCGGGGAUGCGGGUAAACUGA